AAAGAAGCUGAGUCAGGAGUCGCCAUGAUUCUCCCACUCCAGACAGACGCAGGUUAAGAUCUUUCCUGUGCUGUGGACAUGAAGGCGGAUGAUCAGAAGUUCAAUCCUGUCAUCCUCUGCUGGACAGCUAGUCUGAUGACAGAGUGGGCGUUUGUGGUAAGAGCUUUUACCUGCGGAGUCAUCUUGCCAGCCCCAGCGAAUGCCUUCAUCUGUGUCUGUCUCACGGGGACAUGCUGCAAGCUUCUGAGCAUACUGCCCAGACUUCUGGAUCUUGGAACCACUUUGGUGUAUGGAGGACGACUAUGAGCAACCUACAUUUGCUUGUUCUGGAGCUCUGACAAAGUAAGGCGUGGUGCCCCGUGACGCCAUGGUGCCCAGCCUGGACCUGUGCUCCUGCGGAAGCCCAGAAGAGCCCCUGAGGGGAAGCUAUUGCUGACACCUUAGAAUGCUAGAGGAUGAGACCCUGUGGAUUGCUUCUAUCCCUAUAUGGUAUGAUAGACCACGCCCUCCUGAAAGGUUGCUGUGAACACCCUCAAAAAAUUACUUCACUCAACUGCCGACUGAGAUGAACCUGGCACACAGGUUACACCAUGAAAGAUCUGAUUAACAGCACCCCAUUCAGCACAAAGUGUAAAGCUAACCAUCUGGGAGCCGGGUGGGAUGAAAAGUAGGCCUGCUUGCCCCCUUACUACAUCUGUGUAACAACCCUCGCUGUCCUAGAAUUUGCUUUGUUGUAGACCAUGUUGGCCUCAAACUCACUGAGAUCGGCCUGCCUCUGCCACGCAAGUGCUUGUAUUAAAGGUGUGCAC